rnacentral:tRNA from 1 species
GAACGAUGAGCGAAGUUCGAGUGCUACCUUCACACGGUAGAAGUCGGCAGUUCAAUCCUGCCAUCGCCCA